rnacentral:rRNA from 1 species
UUGCGGUUAAAAAGCUCGUAGUUGGAUCUCGGCAAGUAGAGGGCGGUAUGCUUCGUAGCAUUACUGCCCUAUUACUUGUAGUUUUGCCAGAGGUUCCUGGGUGCUCUUAAUCGAGUGUCUAGGGAUGCUGGCAGGUUUACUUUGAAAAAAUUAGAGUGCUCAAAGCAGGCUAUUACGCCUGAAUAUUCGUGCAUGGAAUAAUAGAAUAGGAAGUCGUUUCUAUUUUGUUGGUUUCCGGAAAUCGACUUAAUGAUUAAUAGGGACAGUCGGGGGCAUUUGUAUUCAAACGACGGAGGUGAAAUUCUUGGACCGUUUGAAGACAAACUACUGCGAAAGCAUUUGCCAAGAAUGUUUUCAUUAAUCAAGAACGAAAGUUAAAGGUUCGAAGGCGAUUAGAUACCGCCCUAGUUUUAACCAUAAACGAUGCCAGCUAGCGAUCUGCGGACGUUUUUUUUGUAGACUCCGCAGGAAGCUUCCGGGA